UCUCAUAAUACCAUCCUCUACUUCAUACUAAGUUAAUUUAAAGGCGGAAAACCCUUUUAAUAAACAUAUGUCAAGGGGAGAUUUCUCCAUCUAUAAAAAUCUCCCAUUUUUUAAUGUUUCAUAUGGGGCCCAGCCUUUUGACUUAAAAGGAAUUUAAUUCAAACUAAUCCAAGCCCCAUUUUAUAUCCAUCAGUCGGAUCUCAAGCCAAACCAGGGAUGGCUAUAAAAAUGUAUCUUCACAAAUGCCUAAUAAAUGCAUCCAGCUUCUGUAAAACCACAACUCCCAGCAUCCUCAGCUGGAAGUUUCAGUUUUGCAGCAGCCUCUGCCUUUCGCUGUUGACAUAUUAAUCCCUUAUGUUGGAUUUUUUCCCUUCUUCUUUGUGAUGAUGACAAUCACUAAAGCGCCGGAGUGUCUUCAGAACACAUCACUAGAAAAAAUAUCCAGCAAAUGGUGAUGAAUGAGACACAAUCCGCCGAGGAGUCAGAGCUGGGCCCGAGCUGAAUUGACAAGCUUGGUGUCGUCCGGGAGAGUAUGGUAAUCGCAGGGAGGCAGCUGUCGAGGGCCCAAGUGCUUUCAGGUGAACGUCACCGGAGGUUUGGUCGCCUGCCACAUGGAAGAUGGCACUUGCACUGGUGGAUGACGGCACAUCUGAAUAGUGAGACUUCUAAGGAAAGGACAUUGAGAAUCUUAUUGCAGUCUAGUGAGAUGUGACAUUGUGACAUCACUCAAAGCCACCUGGAGACAAGCACUAUUUGUUUUUAUGAGCAGAGCUUGUACGAAAAGGCACAUCCAUUGUGCGGCGCUGGAUUUCUCCUCCCUGGCUACUGACAGCAUCACAUCAAACUCUAUGGAGCAGUUGGAAUUCUUCUGGCACAGUUGUUCCCUGACGAUAUCCGUAUCCUCCCGCAUGGUGAGCAGAGGGGAGCUGCAUGGCAUUCAUCUUGUACCAGACGGACUCACAAAUAACCCACCACUCUCCGAAUCACUCUUGAAGCCUUCAGGGUAUCUCUUGUAUGUGCAGUGCCGCCCCCCAACUUGCACACAGAGCCGGCUACACAGAGAGGAGCGGCAAGAACUUCAGUAAACAUCGCCGGCUUUGAGUGAAAGAGAAGCCAGUGCCGACUGCUUGGAGCGGACCCUUGUUCCGCAAGACUUUUUACAUUGCUGCACUAGACGCGACCCAGGAGCUUCAUGGGGGCUCCACUUACCCAAGUGACACUAGAUUCUAUUUAUGAAGCAGCACGCUACAGUUGCCCAGGGCGAUAAGUUGGCAGACCCAAUUGGGGACAUUGGCAGCACCAACUCUUCCCAGUUUAGCAGCAGCAGCGGGGUUCAAGGGAACCAGACAGGGGACCCGUACGCUUGCUGGCCAAGAUCGAAAUUGCCAUGAUACACCGCCGCCGUGAUCUUCGCGGCGGCGGUGCUGUAGCGUGCUAGGUACUGUAAGUGGAGGUUGUUCACCAGCUGACUUUUUAUCAGUUCAGUUGGUUUAUGAUAGUUCACUAGCAAUAAAGACUUUUUUUCAAUUA